CCUACGGGAGGCAGCAGUGAGGAAUAUUGGUCAAUGGACGAGACUCUGAACCAGCCAAGUAGCGUGCAGGAUGACUGCCCUAUGGGUUGUAAACUUCUUUUAUGUGGGGAUAAACUGAUACACGUGUGGCCUAUUGUAUGUACCGUAUGAAUAAGGAUAGGCUAACUCCGUGCCAGCAGCCGCGGUAAUACGGAAGAUCCGGGCGUUAUCCGGAUUUAUUGGGUUUAAAGAUAGAGUAGGUGGUUGGUUAGGUCAGAUGUGAAAGUUUUCGGCUUAACCGAAAAAUUGCAUGUGAAACUGGCAGACUUGAUUGCAGUAGAGGAGAGUGGAACUCGAUGUGUAGCGGUGGAAUGCGUAGAUA
rnacentral:rRNA from 1 species